rnacentral:rRNA from 1 species
UUAAGCAUAUCAAUAAGCGGAGGAAAAGAAACCAACAGGGAUUGCCCUAGUAACGGCGAGUGAAGCGGCAACAGCUCAAAUUUGAAAUCUGGCUUCGGCCCGAGUUGUAAUUUGCAGAGGAAGCUUUAGGCGCGGCACCUUCUGAGUCCCCUGGAACGGGGCGCCAUAGAGGGUGAGAGCCCCGUAUAGUUGGAUGCCUAGCCUGUGUAAAGCUCCUUCGACGAGUCGAGUAGUUUGGGAAUGCUGCUCAAAAUGGGAGGUAAAUUUCUUCUAAAGCUAAAUACCGGCCAGAGACCGAUAGCGCACAAGUAGAGUGAUCGAAAGAUGAAAAGCACUUUGAAAAGAGGGUUAAAUAGCACGUGAAAUUGUUGAAAGGGAAGCGCUUGUGACCAGACUUGCGCCGGGCGGAUCAUCCGGUGUUCUCACCGGUGCACUCCGCCCGGCUCAGGCCAGCAUCGGUUCUCGCGGGGGGAUAAAGGUCCUGGGAACGUAGCUCCUCCGGGAGUGUUAUAGCCCGGGGCGUAAUGCCCUCGCGGGGACCGAGGUUCGCGCAUCUGCAAGGAUGCUGGCGUAAUGGUCAUCAGCGACCCGUCUUGAAACACGGACCAAGGAGUCAAGGUUUUGCGCGAGUGUUUGGGUGUAAAACCCGCACGCGUAAUGAAAGUGAACGUAGGUGAGAGCUUCGGCGCAUCAUCGACCGAUCCUGAUGUUUUCGGAUGGAUUUGAGUAGGAGCGUUAAGCCUUGGACCCGAAAGAUGGUGAACUAUGCUUGGAUAGGGUGAAGCCAGAGGAAACUCUGGUGGAGGCUCGCAGCGGUUCUGACGUGCAAAUCGAUCGUCAAAUCUGAGCAUGGGGGCGAAAGACUAAUCGAACCAUCUAGUAGCUGGUUACCGCCGAAGUU